AUACGGAGGGUGCAAGCGUUAUUCGGAAUCACUGGGCGUAAAGGACGCGUAGGCGGGUUGGCAAGUCAGAUGUGAAAUCCUACAGCUUAACUGUAGAACUGCAUUUGAAACUGCUAACCUAGAGUAUGGGAGGGGGAGAUGGAAUUAGUGGUGUAGGGGUAAAAUCCGUAGAUAUCACUAGGAAUACCGAAAGCGAAGGCGAUCUCCUGGAACAUAACUGACGCUAAGGCGUGAAAGCGCGGGGAGCAAACAGGAUUAGAAACCCUAGUAGUCC
rnacentral:rRNA from 1 species